rnacentral:rRNA from 1 species
GCCAGCGGCGAUAGCAGGUUGAAUGCAACAGUUCCCAAUGGAUCACUGAAGCAACGUUGCACGUGGUUGGUAUCCGGAUGGGUGACCAUGUGGACAAUCGCGUGCUGCUAGCU